UGGAGACACACGUGGUCUCAACCAUGGCAACUUGGAAAUAGCUGAAGAUCUCAAGGUGACGGUUCCCCUUGGUCUUGAACUGGGCCUUCUUGGAGAGUGCAGCCUAGAUUUCACCAGGCUCUGGGGACAGCUGUGGCCUCCCCACCCCUGUGGCCUCAUGGUUGGUGAUGUGGGCCCGGACUGGAGCUGCGGGAGUUCAGGAAUACCAACACUGCCGUCUCCCCAUGGCUUCAGCAAAUAGGAGCUGUCUCAUUCACCUUCCGUCACAACACCAAUGGACAUAUUGGGUUCCAGAUGUGUGACCUCCUGGGAAGCAGGUGGCUGUUGAACUUGGUGGUCUUUCCCAGGGAUGGGGCAGAGGGGGUCACCCUGGAGUACGAGGAGCGCCAGCCGUGAUGAGUUGUGCUAUGCCGGGUCUCUCUCCAUUUGGCAUGUAGUGGGAACCUUGGCUUUGGAACGUUCUGCUUCUACCUGGACUCAGUUGUGGCAACGUCCUCAAGCCUUGGAUUUGUGUCAUCAGGGAUCCGCAGACAGGAGCUACCCUCAGGGGAUGCAGACCUGCUACAAGCAAGAUGCACUGCACACCAGGCACCCAGCAGUAAGUUUUCAGAUGCUGUUCCGGCACCAUGCCUAUCUGUCUGCUGCCUGCUGUCAUGUUUCCCUCUGUGCUGGUCAUGCAUUCACCUUCUGAAACUGGAAGUACCAAUAAAUGCUUUU